rnacentral:rRNA from 1 species
AUGGGUGAUAGUAAUACAAGAUACUUCCAAUUGGUCGCCAAUGGGCAGCAUAGGAAGAAAUGUAUUUAUAGUCUCCAACAAGAUGGGGGGAGGAUCGAAGGUCAGGAGGAGCUCAAAAAGUAUAUCACCAAAUACUACAAAUCUCUUUUCGGAGCGCCGACUGAAGGGAAUUUCACCCUUGAUGAGACCCGAACAGAUGAUAUUCCACAUGUCACGGUAGAAGAAAACGAUAUCCUAACGGCACCAUUCUCAGAAGAGGAGGUGCGAGCUACGGUGUUCCAAAUGGAACAUAACAAAGCUCCAGGCCCUGAUGGUUUCCCCGCAGAAUUCUAUCAGAAUUUCUGGGAUAUCAUCAAGUCUGACCUUUUGGAGUUGUUCAAUUGUUUUCAUGCCGACCGACUUGACCUAUUCAGACUUAAUUUUGGCGAGAUUAUCUUGUUGCCGAAGAUUAAGGAGGCCGAACGGAUUCAACAGUUCAGACCCAUAUGCCUCCUUAAUGUCAACUUCAAGAUUUUCACCAAAGUGAACAUGAGUGGAGUAGUAUUCAAAAUAGACUUCAAAAAAGCCUAUGACAAGGUCAAAUGGUCUUUCCUCCAACAGGCCCUAAGGAUGAAAGGCUUCUCCGAUAAAUGGUGCAAGUGGAUCCAAAAUUUUGUAACUGGAGGUAGUGUGGCCAUCAAAGUCAAUGAUGAUGUCGGCCAUUACUUUCAGACAAAAAAAGGACUACGAUAG